rnacentral:tRNA from 1 species
GCUCCGGUAGCUCAGCGGCAGUAGCAGCUCGUUUACACCGAGAAGGUCGGGGGUUCGAUCCCCUCCCGGAGCAC